AGACCCGCAAGUCUGGAGCAGCACAGGCUCCAUGAACAUCUCCCUCUUCCACAAGGCCUCGCACCCUGACUGCGUGCUGGCCCACCUCAACACUCUGCGUAAGCACGUAUGUUCACUGAUGUCACGCUCUGGGCUGGUGACCGCGCCUUUCCCUGCCAUCGGGCAGUGCUGGCGGCCUCCAGCCGAUACUUUGGGGCCAUGUUCAGCCACGGCCUGCUGAAAGCCGGGAUGAUACGGUCAACAUCCAGGACAACCUGCACCCCGAGGUGCUGGAGCUGCUGCUGGCAUCGUCAUCAACGAGGAGAAUGCAGAGUCGCUGCUGGAGGCCGGUGACAUGCUUUAGUUCCAAGACUUCCGGGAUGCAGCUGCCGAGUUUUUCGAACCUUUCCUCCUCCGACUGCCUGGGCAUGAUGCUGCUGUCCGAUGCCCACCAGUGCGGACGGCUCUACAAGUUCUCCUGCCGCAUGUGCCUGGUGCACUUUGAGACGGUGCGGCAGUGAGGACUUCAACAGUCUGUCGAAAGACACGCUGCUGGACCUCAUCUCGAGUGACGAGCUGGAGACAGAGGACAAACGUGUGUGAUCUUUGAGGCCAUCCUGCAGUAGAUGAAGCAUGACCUGGAGCAGAGGAAGGCUCACCUGCCGCUGCUCCUGCGCAGCGUGCGGCUGGCCCUGCUGCCCUCGGACUGCCUGAAGGAGGCCGUGUCCGGGGAGACCCUCCUCAUGGUGGAAGAGCGCACCAAGCUCAUCAUAGAUGAGGCCUUCCACUGCAAGACCAAGAUCUUGCAGAAUGACGGUGUGGUCACCAGUCCCUUUGCCUGGCCACGGAAGCCAGGCUACACGCUGCUCAUCCUGGGGGGCCAGACCUUCAUGUGUGACAAGAUCUACCAGGUGGACCACAAAGCCAAAGAGAUUAUCCCCAAGGCGGAUCUGCCAAGCUCCCGGAAGGAGUUCAGUGCCUCAGCGAUUAGUUCCAAGGUCUAUGUGACCGGAGGUAGGGGCUCUGAGAAUGGGGUCUCUAAGGAUGUCUGGGUAUUUGACACUGUCCACGAGGAGUGGUCCAAGGUGGCCCCCAUGCUGAUUGCCCGCUUUGGCCAUGGCUCGGCUGAGCUGGAGAACUGCCUCUAUGUGGUGAGGGACAUACAUCUCUAGCAGGCAUUUUCCCUGCCUCUCCUUCUGUCUCCCUGAAACAAGUAGAGAAAUAUGACCCCGUGGCCAAUAAGUGGACUAUGGUGGCCCCGAUGAGAGACGGUGUCAGCAACGCCGCCGUGGUGAGGGCCAAGCUGAAGCUCUUUGUGUUCGGAGGGACCAGCAUCCACCGGGACAUGGUGUCCAAAGUCCAGUGUUUUGCCCCCUCCGAGAACCGGUGGACAAUCAAGGUGGAGUGUCCCUAGCCUUGGCGAUACACGGCUGCUGCUGUCCUGGGCAGCCAGAUCUUCAUCAUGGGAGGUGAUACGGAGUACACAGCAGCCUCAGCCUAUCGCUUCAACUGUGAGACCAACCAGUGGACUUGGAUUGGGGACAUGACCGCCAAACACAUGUCCUGUCAUGCCCUGGCUUCGGGCAACAAGCUGUAUGUAGUGGGAGGCUACUUUGGAACGCAGAGGUGUAAGACCCUGGACUACUACGACCCCACUUCAGACACAUGGAACUGCAUCACCACCGUGCCUUACUCUCUCAUCCCCACGGCCUUUGUUAGCACCUGGAAACACCUGCCUGUGUGAGAGGCACCAGUGUCCCCCGCAGGAGGUUUGCAGAGGCUUUCUGAUGCCACUGUUGACGCCAGUCUCCUCCCUUGUUUGGCUAGCCCGGUGUAGGGAGGACGACAGGCACUCCUGUGUCUGGCACAGAGUGGGCAGGGUGCCUAGCCGGUGGCUUCCCAGGCCAUUGCUGUGCAGGAUGGAGCAUGCAGAGUGGGUUCUGCCAUUGGCAGAAGUGGAGCCAUGACGCAGACCAAUGUGGCCAGCGCUCAAGUCCUCACAGCUCAGUCUGGUCCUGAUGCUGUGGGUGCGGAUUAGAGGGUAGGACUUCAAGGCGAGGCUCCCCGUGAAUGUGCUCUGGGAAAGAGCCCAAAGUCUGCUUCCUGAUGUGACUUAGGCUCAGACCGGCCCUCAUCCGUGGUCCAGCUCACUUUCUACUCUACACCUGAUCACCGAUGUUGGAGACUUGCAGGGUCUGGCCUGUGGACUAAUCACUCUGCACAGCACAGAGGUCCUAGCCACGGUGCUUGUCUGAGCCUAGGUGUUGCUUUUAGUAGUUUUCUAACUUAAUAUAAGUGAGAAAGUUUCUGA